AGUGAACGCUGGCGGUAGGCCUAACACAUGCAAGUCGAACGGCAGCACAGUAAGAGCUUGCUCUUACGGGUGGCGAGUGGCGGACGGGUGAGGAAUACAUCGGAAUCUACUUUUUCGUGGGGGAUAACGUAGGGAAACUUACGCCAAUACCGCAUACGACCUACGGGUGAAAGCAGGGGAUCUUCGGACCUUGCGCGAUUGAAUGAGCCGAUGUCGGAUUAGCUAGUUGGCGGGGUAAAGGCCCACCAAGGCGACGAUCCGUAGCUGGUCUGAGAGGAUGAUCAGCCGCACUGGAACUGAGACACGGUCCAGACUCCUACGGGAGGCAGCAGUGGGGAAUAUUGGACAAUGGGCGCAUGCCUGAUCCAGCCAUACCGCGUGGGUGAAGAAGGCCUUCGGGUUGUAAAGCCCUUUUGUUGGGAAAGAAAAGCAGCAGGUUAAUACCCCGCUGUUCUGACGGUACCCAAAGAAUAAGCACCGGCUAACUUCGUG
rnacentral:rRNA from 1 species